UACGAAGGGGGCUAGCGUUGUUCGGAAUCACUGGGCGUAAAGCGCACGUAGGCGGAUCUUUAAGUCAGGGGUGAAAUCCCGAGGCUCAACCUCGGAACUGCCUUUGAUACUGGGGAUCUCGAGUCCGGGAGAGGUGAGUGGAACUGCGAGUGUAGAGGUGAAAUUCGUAGAUAUUCGGAAGAACACCAGUGGCGAAGGCGAGUCUCUGGACCGUAACUGACGCUGAGGCGCGAAAGCGUGGGGAGCAAACAGG
rnacentral:rRNA from 1 species